rnacentral:tRNA from 1 species
UCCCUGGUGGUUCAGUGGCUAAGACUCUGUAGUCCCAAUGUAGGGGGCUCAGGUUCGAUCCCUGAUCAGGGAG